AAAUAAAAAAUGCCAUUCAACAUGAUUAUCGUAGGUAUGACGGCCUGUGGGAAGACGCAUUACCUCAUCCAGGAAUUAAGGACGACGUUCUUCCAUCAGUUUGAAAAUAUAUUUCUGAUUUGUCCUACCUAUCACUGGAAUAAGACCUAUGAUCAGGAUUUCAUUCAUGAGGACGACAAUUUCUUUGUUAUCCCCUGCCGGCAGGAUGACGUGGAGGACUACCUUAAAUUUGUAGUGGACUUCACCAAGGGAAGGGAAUCUCUCGUCAUUCUG